GCCUGGGUGGCUCAGUCGGCUAAGCGUCUGACUCCAGCUCAGGUCAUGAUCUCACAGUUCGUGGGUUCGAGCCCCACAUCAGGCU
rnacentral:tRNA from 1 species